CGGCGAGCGAAUAAAGAAUAGCCCAGCACUAAGUCUUCUAACUGGUAACGGUUAGCAAGAAAUGCAGUGUANNGGAAAAUCUAUUAUCUUAUACAAGUUAAUACACAGCUCGUUCAAGUUCAUCUUGAAUGGGACUAACCAUAGAGGGUGAAAGUCCCGUGGAAUCUGCUGUUUGUAUAAGAAGAUUAUAAAUUCCUAAGAGUCGUGUUGCUUGAUAGUGCAGCACUAAACAGGUGGUAGACUCCAUCUAAGGCUAAAUAUGACCACGAGACCGAUAGUAAACAAGUACCAUGAGGGAAAGUUGAAAAGAACUCUGUAUAGAGAGUUAAAUAGUACGUGAAACUGCUUAGUGGGUAAAACCAAUUGAUCUUGAUAUUCUGAAGUAGAUAGAUUCAGUAUCGCAUAGAUGUGCGUGUGUGUGUGCUUGCGCGCGCGCGCUCGUACGUCUAGAUGGUAUGCACUUCUAUCUACGGUAGGACAUUACGAUACGUUGCUCACAUCAAGAAAAUUUUGAAUUUGAUUGAUGCAAUAUUGCUUAAUCAGUUAGACGAUAAACUAGUUUGACAGCUAUUCUUCUCAAUUUGGCUGUGGUGUCGUCUCUUCGGAGCUCCGAUACCAUAUCACCGAAUUGAACAUAAAGAAUAGAGUUGAAAUAAUGUUUAUCUAACAGCAAAGAGCGACGUUCUAAAAAUCAUUGUGCUAUAUGUGUGUGUAAAAGCGCACAUAUAAUAUAGCGUUCGCGCGCUUGCGCGUGGACAAACUAUAUUGUGCAUAGAUAUGAUCAGUAAUGCUUAAUCAGGCACCAAUAGGACCCGUCUUGAAACACGGACCAAGGAGUUCAGCAUAUGUGCAAGCCAAUGGGAAUAAUAGCAAUAAACCUAAAGGCGCAAUGAAAGUAACUGAAGAAUAUACACAUGAGAUUACGAUUGGAUACGCUGAUAUUGCAAAAUGUUGGGUUGAUGAUCCUCCAUCUCAGGACGUUUCAUAUUUGAUUGAUAUUUGCAAUAGGUGUGUGCGUACAUUGUACGCGCGCAAUGAGCGAAAAUUAUUAAUCGAAACGUACCUUAAGUAUAUAUGCUGUGACCCGAAAGAUGGUGAACUAUACCUGAUCAGGUUGAAGUUAGAGGAAACUCUAAUGGAGGACCGAAGCAGUUCUGACGUGCAAAUCGAUUGUCAGAAUUGGGUAUAGGGGCGAAAGACUAAUCGAACCAUCUAGUAGCUGGUUCCCUUCGAAGUUUCCCUCAGGAUAGCUGGUGCAGUAAAUAAUGCAAUAAUAGUCCUAUAUGGUAAAGCGAAUGAUUAGAGGCCAUUGGGAUUGAAAUAAUCUCAACCUAUUCUCAAACUUUAAAUGUGUAGGAAACAUUUUACUUUCUUGAUUGAAGUAAUGUUGUCCAAAUUAUAUGAUAAAUUGUGCUCAGUGGGCCAUUUUUGGUAAGCAGAACUGGCGCUGUGGGAUGAACCAAACGUAAUGUUAAGGUGUCCAAAUAUGACUAAUACAGAUACCAUGAAAGGUGUUGGUUGCUUAAGACAGCAGGGCGGUGGACAUGGAAGUUGUAUAUCCGCUAAGGAGUGUGUAACAACUCACCUGCCGAAGCAAGCAGCCCUGAAAAUGGAUGACGCUCAAGUCAUAUACCUAUACAUUACCGCUAAAGCAAAGAGUUUCCAUGCGCCCGCGCAUGAAUACGAUGAAGCUUUAGUGAGUAGAAGGGUAUAAUGGUAAGCGUUGAAGUAUUAGGUGUAAACCUGUAUGGAGCUUCCAUUAGUACAGAUCUUGGUGGUAGUAGCAAAUAAUCGAAUGAGAACUUGGACGGCUGAAGUGGAGAAGGGUUUCGUGUCAACAGCAGUUGAACACGAGUUAGUCGGUCCUAAGCUCUAAGCGAAAGCUGAAAAGAUAUCCAGUUGCAACAACGAACAUUGAAAUGCAAAAUAGUAGUAGUAGUACUGUGAAAUAUCAUGAGCGAAAGGGAAUACGGUUAAUAUUCCGUAACCUGUUGAGUAAUUAUUAAGAUAUUGUGUGCAUUGUGUGUCUACGUGUAUGGGCGUAACAACCUAUCAUGGAACAUAGAAUGUACAUGUCUUAGCCUGGCAACAGAAAUGUCUAUAGAGACGUCAUUGUGGCAUACCAGGAGAGUUCUCUUUUCUGUUUAACUGUUGUACCACCAUGGAAUUCUAUCAUAGAGCGAGAUGGUGGAUUAACAGUCAGAGCAUAACAAUUCUCGUUGUGUUUGGUAUCGUCGCAAUGAACCUUGAAAAUCUAUAGACAGUAAUAAUAAUUACACGCAAUUAAAUAAAAUAAAUUCUCAACAGUCCGUACCCAUAUCCGCAGCAGGUCUCCAAGAUUAAAAAUCUCUAGCCGAUAGAACAAUGUGUGUAAGGGAAGUCGGCAAAUUAGAUCCGUAACUUCGGGAAAAGGAUUGGCUCUGAAGAUUGAGAUAGAUCGGGCUCGAGAUGGAAAACAAUAGCUAAGGCAUCACGUGAACGUCUGGGCGAUGUCAAAUCG
rnacentral:rRNA from 1 species